CAGCCGUAAACUAUGCUCGCUAGGUGUCAGGCAUGGCGCGACCGUGUCUGGUGCCGCAGGGAAGCCGUGAAGCGAGCCACCUGGGAAGUACGGCCGCAAGGCUGAAACUUAAAGGAAUUGGCGGGGGAGCACAACAACGGGUGGAGCCUGCGGUUUAAUUGGACUCAACGCCGGACAACUCACCGGGGACGACAGCAAUAUGUAGGCCAGGCUGAAGACCUUGCCUGAAUCGCUGAGAGGAGGUGCAUGGCG
rnacentral:rRNA from 1 species